rnacentral:rRNA from 1 species
AGAUUGAACUGAAGAGUUUGAUCCUGGCUCAGAUUGAACGCUGGCGGGAUGCUUUACACAUGCAAGUCGGACGGCAGCACGGGCUUCGGCCUGGUGGCGAGUGGCGAACGGGUGAGUAAUGUAUCGGAACGUGCCCAGUAGCGGGGGAUAACUACGCGAAAGCGUGGCUAAUACCGCAUACGCCCUACGGGGGAAAGCGGGGGACCUUCGGGCCUCGCACUAUUGGAGCGGCCGAUAUCGGAUUAGCUAGUUGGUGGGGUAACGGCCUACCAAGGCGACGAUCCGUAGCUGGUUUGAGAGGACGACCAGCCACACUGGGACUGAGACACGGCCCAGACUCCUACGGGAGGCAGCAGUGGGGAAUUUUGGACAAUGGGGGCAACCCUGAUCCAGCCAUCCCGCGUGUGCGAUGAAGGCCUUCGGGUUGUAAAGCACUUUUGGCAGGAAAGAAACGGCACGGGCUAAUAUCCUGUGCAACUGACGGUACCUGCAGAAUAAGCACCGGCUAACUACGUGCCAGCAGCCGCGGUAAUACGUAGGGUGCAAGCGUUAAUCGGAAUUACUGGGCGUAAAGCGUGCGCAGGCGGUUCGGAAAGAAAGAUGUGAAAUCCCAGGGCUUAACCUUGGAACUGCAUUUUAACUACCGGGCUAGAGUGUGUCAGAGGGAGGUGGAAUUCCGCGUGUAGCAGUGAAAUGCGUAGAUAUGCGGAGGAACACCGAUGGCGAAGGCAGCCUCCUGGGAUAACACUGACGCUCAUGCACGAAAGUGUGGGGAGCAAACAGGAUUAGAUACCCUGGUAGUCCACGCCCUAAACGAUGUCAACUAGCUGUUGGGGCCUUCGGGCCUUGGUAGCGCAGCUAACGCGUGAAGUUGACCGCCUGGGGAGUACGGUCGCAAGAUUAAAACUCAAAGGAAUUGACGGGGACCCGCACAAGCGGUGGAUGAUGUGGAUUAAUUCGAUGCAACGCGAAAAACCUUACCUACCCUUGACAUGUCUGGAAUCCCGAAGAGAUUUGGGAGUGCUCGCAAGAGAACCGGAACACAGGUGCUGCAUGGCUGUCGUCAGCUCGUGUCGUGAGAUGUUGGGUUAAGUCCCGCAACGAGCGCAACCCUUGUCAUUAGUUGCUACGAAAGGGCACUCUAAUGAGACUGCCGGUGACAAACCGGAGGAAGGUGGGGAUGACGUCAAGUCCUCAUGGCCCUUAUGGGUAGGGCUUCACACGUCAUACAAUGGUCGGGACAGAGGGUUGCCAACCCGCGAGGGGGAGCCAAUCCCAGAAACCCGGUCGUAGUCCGGAUCGCAGUCUGCAACUCGACUGCGUGAAGUCGGAAUCGCUAGUAAUCGCGGAUCAGCAUGUCGCGGUGAAUACGUUCCCGGGUCUUGUACACACCGCCCGUCACACCAUGGGAGUGGGUUUUACCAGAAGUAGUUAGCCUAACCGCAAGGGGGCGAUUACCACGGUAGGAUUCAUGACUGGGGUGAAGUCGUAACAAGGUAGCCGUAUCGGAAGGUGCGGCUGGAUCACCUCCUUU